rnacentral:rRNA from 1 species
AUGGAGGCCGCCGGUGUUGGGUGGCUAGCGCAAGAGAUCCUCUCACACCCCCUGAUCGGCAAGCCCCCUGAUCCGUGGGUCCGCGAAGCCGGGCUUGCCGAUGAAAUCGACGGGCUCACAUGUGCAAUCAAGCGAGUUCGCAUGGUGGUCUCUGCGGUUGAGGGCAGGGAGCUUGACAUCGAGCCAGUGGCUGAAUCUCUUGCUGAUCUCAAGGAGGUGCUCUAUGAUGCGGCCAACGUGGUCGACGACCUCGACUACUACAAGCUCAAACAGGGUAAGCCUGCUUACCACCUGCAGAUUACUUCAGUUGUGAGUCUCUGUUGCAAAAUACAGUUAAAUUAG